AACCUGGUUGAUGCCUGCCAGUAGUCAUAUGCUUGUCUCAAAGAUUAAGCCAUGCAUGUCUAAGUAUAAGCGACUUGUACUGUGAAACUGCGAAUGGCUCAUUAAAUCAGUUAUGGUUUCUUUGAUGGUACCUUGCUACUUGGAUACCCGUAGUAAUUCUAGAGCUAAUACAUGCAGGAAUGCCCGACUUCGGAAGGGCUGUAUUUAUUAGAUAAGAAACCAUCUCGGGUUCGCCCGGUUGUGUGCUGAGUCAUAAUAACUGCUCGAAUCGCACGGCUCUACGCCGGCGAUGGUUCAUUCAAAUUUCUGCCCUAUCAGCUUUCGAUGGUAGGAUAGAGGCCUACCAUGGCGUUAACGGGUAACGGAGAAUUAGGGUUCGAUUCCGGAGAGGGAGCCUGAGAAAUGGCUACCACAUCCAAGGAAGGCAGCAGGCGCGUAAAUUGCCCGAAUCCUGACACAGGGAGGUAGUGACAAGAAAUAACAAUACAGGGCUACUUCUAGUCUUGUAAUUGGAAUGAGUACAACUUACAUCUCUUCACGAGGAUCAAUUGGAGGGCAAGUCUGGUGCCAGCAGCCGCGGUAAUUCCAGCUCCAAUAGC
rnacentral:rRNA from 1 species